rnacentral:rRNA from 1 species
GAUGAACGCUGGCGGCGUGCCUAACACAUGCAAGUCGAGCGGACGGACGAGAAGCUUGCUUCUCUGAUGUUAGCCGCGGACGGGAGAGAAACGCGUGGAUCCCCUACUUAUAAGUCUGGGAUCACUUGGGGAAACCGGAGCUAAUACGAGAUAAUAUUUUGCACCGCAUGGUUCAAAAGUGAAAGACGGCCUUGCUGUCACUUCUAGAUGGUUCCGCGCUGCAUUAGCUAGUUGGUAAGGUAACGGCUUACCAAGGCAACGAUGCAUAGCCGACCUGUGAGGGUGAUCGGCCACACUGGAACUGAGACACGGUCCAGACUCCUACGGGAGGCAGCAGUAGGGAAUCUUCCGCAAUGGGCGAAAGCCUGACGGAGCAACGCCGCGUGAGUGAUGAAGGUCUUCGGAUCGUAAAACUCUGUUAUUAGGGAAGAACAGAUGUGUAAGUAACUGUACACAUCUUGACGGUACCUAAUCAAAAAGCAACGGCUAACUACGUG